rnacentral:rRNA from 1 species
AUUGAACGCUGGCGGCAUGCUUUACACAUGCAAGUCGAACGGUAACAGGUUAAGCUGACGAGUGGCGAACGGGUGAGAAAUGCAUCGGAACGUGCCCGGUCGUGGGGGAUAACGCAGCGAAAGCUGCGCUAAUACCGCAUACGAUCUAAGGAUGAAAGCGGGGGACCGUAAGGCCUCGCGCGAUCGGAGCGGCCGAUGUCAGAUUAGGUAGUUGGUGGGGUAAAGGCUCACCAAGCCAACGAUCUGUAGCUGGUCUGAGAGGACGACCAGCCACCCUGGGACUUGGACGCGGCCCGGAAUCCUACGGGAGGCGGCAGUGGGGAAUUUUGGACAAUGGGCGAAAGUCUGAUCCAGCAAUGCCGCGUGCAGGAAGAAGGCCUUCGGGUUGUAAACUGCUUUUGUACGGAGCGAAAAGGUCUCCUCUAAUACAGGGGGCUCAUGACGGUACCGUAAGAAUAAGCACCGGCUAACUACGUGCCAGCAGCCGCCGUAA